rnacentral:lncRNA from 1 species
UGAUUCUCAAUUUUUUUUGGUUUCUGGUUUGUGUUUUAGAGUUUGUAUCUUAUGCACAUCUUGUGCUGUUUAUAAAUAAUUUAACUUCUUCAAAAAAAAUUAUGCAGAAGUUGUUUCACAGUUUUGUGUACUGUUGUUUUUUUGUUAAUUAUGCAGAAGCUGUUUCAGUGAAGUGUGUUGUGUUUUACAUACUGUUUUGAUUACAUUGUUUUGACAACCAUGUUACAUAUAGUCUCAAUGGAUAUUAAGAUAUGAUGAAGU